UACGAAGGGGGCUAGCGUUGUUCGGAUUUACUGGGCGUAAAGCGCACGUAGGCGGAUCGAUCAGUCAGGGGUGAAAUCCCAGAGCUCAACUCUGGAACUGCCUUUGAUACUGUCGAUCUGGAGUAUGGAAGAGGUGAGUGGAAUUCCGAGUGUAGAGGUGAAAUUCGUAGAUAUUCGGAGGAACACCAGUGGCGAAGGCAGCUUACUGGGCAUUUCCUGACGCUGAGGCGCGAAAGCGUGGGUAGCAAACAGG
rnacentral:rRNA from 1 species